rnacentral:rRNA from 1 species
UACGUAGGGUGCAAGCGUUGUCCGGAAUUAUUGGGCGUAAAGAGCUCGUAGGCGGUUUGUUGCGUCGGCUGUGAAAUCCCGAGGCUCAACCUCGGGUCUGCAGUCGAUACGAGCAAACUAGAGUGUUGCAGGGGAGACUGGAAUUCCUGGUGUAGCGGUGAAAUGCGCAGAUAUCAGGAGGAACACCGGUGGCGAAGGCGGGAUCCUGGGCCAGUACUGACGCUGAGGAGCGAAAGCGUGGGGAGCAAACAGG